GACGAACGCUGGCGGCGUGCUUAACACAUGCAAGUCGAACGGAAAGGCCCUGCUUUUGUGGGGUGCUCGAGUGGCGAACGGGUGAGUAACACGUGAGUAACCUGCCCUUGACUUUGGGAUAACUUCAGGAAACUGGGGCUAAUACCGGAUAGGAGCUCCUGCUGCAUGGUGGGGGUUGGAAAGUUUCGGCGGUUGGGGAUGGACUCGCGGCUUAUCAGCUUGUUGGUGGGGUAGUGGCUUACCAAGGCUUUGACGGGUAGCCGGCCUGAGAGGGUGACCGGCCACAUUGGGACUGGGAUACGGCCCAGACUCCUACGGGAGGAAGCAGUGGGGAAUAUUGCACAAUGGGCGGAAGCCUGAUGCAGCAACGCCGCGUGCGGGAUGACGGCCUUCGGGUUGUAAACCGCUUUCGCCUGUGACGAAGCGUGAGUGACGGUAAGGGGUAAAGAAGCACCGGCUAACUACG
rnacentral:rRNA from 1 species